rnacentral:rRNA from 1 species
GACGAACGCUGGCGGCGUGCCUAAUACAGGCAAGUUGAGCGCUGAAGGUUGGUACUUGUACCAACUGGAUGAGCAGCGAACUUGUGAGUAACGCGGGGGGAAUCUUCCUUUGAUCGGGGGACAACAUGUGGAAACGAAUGCUAAUACCGCAUAAAAACUUUAAACACAAUUUUUAGGUUUGAAAGAUGCAAUUGCAUCACUCAAAGAUGAUCCCGCGUUGUAUUAGCUAGUUGGUGAGGUAAAGGCUCACCAAGGCGAUGAUACAUAGCCGACCUGAGAGGGUGAUCGGCCACAUUGGGACUGCGACACGGCCCAAACUCCUACGGGAGGCAGCAGUAGGGAAGCUUCGGCAAUGGACGAAAGUCUGACAGAGCCACGCCGCGUGAGUGAAGAAGGUUGUCGGCUCGUAAAACUCUGUUGGUCGAGAAGAACGUUGGUGAGAGUGGCAAGCUGAUCCAGUGACGGUAACUACGCAGAAAGGGACGGCUAACCACGCG